AUACGGAGGGUGCAAGCGUUAUUCGGAAUCACUGGGCGUAAAGGACGCGUAGGCGGGUUGGCAAGUCAGAUGUGAAAUCCUACAGCUUAACUGUAGAACUGCAUUUGAAACUGCUAACCUAGAGUCUGGGAGGGGGAGAUGGAAUUAGUGGUGUAGGGGUAAAAUCCGUAGAUAUCACUAGGAAUACCGAAAGCGAAGGCGAUCUCCUGGAACAUAACUGACGCUAAGGCGUGAAAGCGUGGGGAGCAAACAGGAUUAGAAACCCUUGUAGUCC
rnacentral:rRNA from 1 species